rnacentral:rRNA from 1 species
CAUGCAGUCGAACGGUGAAGCAGAGCUUGCUCUGUGGAUCAGUGGCGAACGGGUGAGUAACACGUGAGCAAUCUGCCCCUGACUCUGGGAUAAGCGCUGGAAACGGCGUCUAAUACCGGAUACGAGCUGCGAAGGCAUCUUCAGCAGCUGGAAAGAAUUUCGGUCAGGGAUGAGCUCGCGGCCUAUCAGCUUGUUGGUGAGGUAACGGCUCACCAAGGCGUCGACGGGUAGCCGGCCUGAGAGGGUGACCGGCCACACUGGGACUGAGGACACGGCCCAGACUCCUACGGGAGGCAGCAGUGGGGGAAUAUUGCACAAUGGGCGAAAGCCUGAUGCAGCAACGCCGCGUGAGGGACGACGGCCUUCGGGUUGUAAACCUCUUUUAGCAGGAAAGAAGCGAAAGUGACGGUACCUGCAGAAAAAGCGCCGGCUAACUACGUGCCAGCAGCCGCGGUAAUACGUAGGGCGCAAGCGUUAUCCGGAAUUAUUGGGCGUAAAGAGCUCGUAGGCGGUCUGUCGCGUCUGCUGUGAAAACCCGAGGCUCAACCUCGGGCCUGCAGUGGGUACGGGCAGACUAGAGUGCGGUAGGGGAGAUUGGAAUUCCUGGUGUAGCGGUGGAAUGCGCAGAUAUCAGGAGGAACACCGAUGGCGAAGGCAGAUCUCUGGGCCGUAACUGACGCUGAGGAGCGAAAGGGUGGGGAGCAAACAGGCUUAGAUACCCUGGUAGUCCACCCCGUAAACGUUGGGAACUAGUUGUGGGGUCCAUUCCACGGAUUCCGUGACGCAGCUAACGCAUUAAGUUCCCCGCCUGGGGAGUACGGCCGCAAGGCUAAAACUCAAAGGAAUUGACGGGGACCCGCACAAGCGGCGGAGCAUGCGGAUUAAUUCGAUGCAACGCGAAGAACCUUACCAAGGCUUGACAUAUACGAGAACGCUGCAGAAAUGUAGAACUCUUUGGACACUCGUAAACAGGUGGUGCAUGGGUUGUCGUCAGCUCGUGUCGUGAGAUGUUGGGUUAAGUCCCGCAACGAGCGCAACCCUCGUUCUAUGUUGCCAGCACGUAAUGGUGGGAACUCAUGGGAUACUGCCGGGGUCAACUCGGAGGAAGGUGGGGAUGACGUCAAAUCAUCAUGCCCCUUAUGUYYUGGGCUUCACGCAUGCUACAAUGGCCGGUACAAAGGGCUGCAAUACCGCGAGGUGGAGCGAAUCCCAAAAAGCCGGUCCCAGUUCGGAUUGAGGUCUGCAACUCGACCUCAUGAAGUCGGAGUCGCUAGUAAUCGCAGAUCAGCAACGCUGCGGUGAAUACGUUCCCGGGUCUUGUACACACCGCCCGUCAAGUCAUGAAAGUCGGUAACACCUGAAGCCGGUGGCCCAACCCUUGUGGAGGAGCCGUCGAA